AUCUCUAACUUCCCCCGCUCCCCCUCCCCCUGUUUUUCUUCUCUCUGCGAAAAUCCAAUAAGAAAUCUUAAAGUUUUAGUUUCUGUUUUUUCGGGUGUGCAAUCGAUUCAUAUUUUCCUGUCCGAGAUGCUUGAAUCUGUCUGGUUUCUUUUAAAAAAGGAUGAACCUCAGAAUCCCUGCAGCUAGGGUUCUUAUCAGCUCGGCAGCCACUGGUGUAGCUGUGUAGCCAACAAAUUGGUGCUGGUUCCCCAUUUCCUCAGACUAUAUGGCUGAGACAGGAGAUGCAGGUCGCUUGCCAACAUCCCUUGAUGUGCUGGCUUCAGAUGUUCACUCCAGGCUGGAGUUCCACAGGUAUGCCUUCAUGGACUGUGUUGGCAUAAAAAAUGCGCUUCACUGUGUCAUCGAAGAAAGGGAAAACCUCCAGCAACGACAGAAUGCGAUUGACCAACUGGUUGCUGAAAAGGACAGCCUCACUAAAAAGAAUGAAGAGCUGGCAGCAGAACUUGAAUCUCUGAAGGAACAGCUCCAAGCAAGGGAAUCGAGCGAUCAACAGCAGGGAAGUGGUUUUCAGCAGAGCCACUCUGGAAUGGCACACCCAAGAUUAAUGCCGAAAAGGAAACGGCAAUCUGGAGAUGAAGAUGUUGAUGAGCAUGAGCUUAUGGAAGAUCUUUCCGUUAUAGAUAAUCCUGAUCAAGUUUUAAACACUGAGCUCGAGGCUACUAGAAAGGAAAUUUCUGAUAUCCACUCUAAGCUGAUUGAGGGGUUCACUGAUCUUAGUACUACUGGAGGAAGGAAUAUCGCCCUAAAAAACAUAGGGCAAUUGGAUGACAGGCCAUUCCUGGCGGCAUGCCGUAAGAAGCUGCCUGCCGAAGAAGCAAGAGAAAAAGCUAAAGAAGUACACCGUGUUUGGCAGGGGCAUAUACAGAACCCAGAGUGGAAUCCCUUCAAGACUGUCACAGUUGAAGGUAUCCCGAAGGAGAUUAUUGAUGUCGAUGAUGACAAGCUGCAAGGGCUAUGUGCUGCAUGGGGUGAAGGGGUGCACAAGGCUGUGGUGAGUUGUUUGGUAGAAAUUCAAGAAAGUGGCAGGCUGGGAGAUAGAAACAUUGUACCCGAGGUCUGGAAUUACAAGUGCAAGAGAAAAGCCACUCACAGUGAGAGCAUCGAGUACUUGUUCGGUCAAGUGAAGCGUCUGAGUGACGCGAAAUCCAGAACCCGCAGCGCAAGAUGACCUUGUAGGGGCGUGGUGGUGCAACAGGAUGAUGACCCACAGUGGCUAGGUAGAACCAGUCUGAAGGAUUAACUAACUCAUGGUGAAGAACUGAAGACUGGAAUUGUCUAUGAAACGCAUCGCAGAACAAUGUUGGGAGUUAUGUGUUAUGUAUAUCUGUUUGGUACCCGUUUAUAACCUCUGUUAGAGUGCCGGUAUUAAGCUUUUGCGUGCAACUCUUUUACCAGCAUAUCAGAACAAUGUUUCAGUAUUCUGCUAGACUCAGCGGUAUCUAGUUUAGUGUGAACUCUGAAGUUCGAUAUUUAACGUGCAAGACGUUUCUAUGAAUGGCUCAAUGUUUGAAGUAACAUGUGUCUACAUUUUCGUACAAAGAUGCACAUUUUCUUUGCUAUGGAAAAAUAAUAAUCCGGUGGCAAAUAACC
rnacentral:rRNA from 1 species